rnacentral:rRNA from 1 species
GUGGGGAAUCUUAGACAAUGGGGGAAACCCUGAUCUAGCCAUGCCGCGUGAUCGAUGAAGGCCUUAGGGUUGUAAAGAUCUUUCAGGUGGGAAGAUAAUGACUGUACCACCAGAAGAAGCCCCGGCUAACCCCGUGCCAGCAGCCGCGGUAAUACGGAGGGCGCUAGCGUUGUCCGGAAUUACUGGGCGUAAAGCGCACGUAGGCGGAUUGGAAAGUUGGGGGUGAAGUCCCGGGGCUCAACCCCGGAACUGCCUUCAAAACUCCCAGUCUUGAGUUCGAGAGAGGUGAGUGGAAUUCCGGGUGUAGAGGUGACAUUCGUAGAUAUUCGGCGGAACACCAGUGGCGAAGGCGGCUCACUGGCUCGAUACUGUCGCUGAGGUGCGUAAGCGUGGGGAGCAAGCAGGAUUAGAUACCCCGGUAGUCC